rnacentral:lncRNA from 1 species
AAGGAAACGCCCUGAAACGGAAAAUGUAGAUGGCAGUGAUACCGAGGAUGACGAGGAAGACGAUGAUGAUGUUGAACAGGAUGAUGAUGAAGGAGAUGAAGAUUUCUCCGGUGAAGAGGGAGGUGAUGACGACGAAGAGGGAGAUCCCGAGGAGGAUCCAGUGGCAAAUGGUAAUGGCGGCAGUGGCGACGAAGAUGACGAGGACGAGGAUGGUGAUGGCGACGAAGAUGAGGAUGGCGAAGACGAGGAGGACGACGAAGAAGACGAGGACGAAGAGGAUGCACCUCCAGCGAAGAAGAGAAAGUAAAAUAGAUUUAGUUGUUGCCUGUGUUUAUUUACAUUUGCUUGGAG